rnacentral:rRNA from 1 species
CAAUAGCGUAUAUUAAAGUUGUUGCAGUUAAAAAGCUCGUAGUUGGAUUUCUGGUGGGAGCGAUCGGUCUGGCGCUUAGCGCGAGUACUUGCAUCGUCUCCGGCCAUCCUUGGGGAGAGUCUGUCUGGCAUUAAGUUGUCGGGCAGAGGAUCCUCAUCGUUUACUGUGAAAAAAUUAGAGUGUUCAAAGCAGGCUUAUGCCGUUGAAUAUAUUAGCAUGGAAUAAUAAGAUAGGACUUUGGUACUAUUUUGUUGGUUUGCGCACCAAAGUAAUGAUUAAUAGGGACAGUUGGGGGUAUUCGUAUUCCGUUGUCAGAGGUGAAAUUCUUGGAUUUACGGAAGACGAACUACUGCGAAAGCAUUUACCAAGGAUGUUUUCAUUA